AUUUUAUGAUGAUCACCAUGCGUGUCAACUGAUUCCAGACUUUUCUGCAUUGCUUGGUGGCUGGUGAGCGUUCUGCUAAUCAGUGUACCUAGCGUGUAGGGUUCUGGUUGCAUGAUCAAUUUAGAAGUCUGAAAAU
ensembl:snoRNA